UAGUAUUACAACUGUUUUAGAAUUUGUCUAGGAGGCUUUCUGUUUUUUGCCAGAAGCCCCC
ensembl:snRNA U7 U7 small nuclear RNA